CCUACGGGGUGCUGCAGUGAGGAAUAUUGGUCAAUGGACGAGCGUCUGAACCAGCCAAGUAGCGUGAAGGAUGACUGCCCUAUGGUUUUUAAACUUCUUUUACAUGGGAAUAAAAUGUUCCACGUAUGGUAUAUUGUAUGUACCAUAUGAAUAUGGCAGCGCCAACUCUGUUCCAGCAGCCGCGGUAAUACGGAGGAUCCGAGCGUUAUCCGGAUUUAUUGGGUAUAAAGGGAGAGUAGGUGGAUUGUUAAGUCAGUUGUGCAAGUUUGCGGCUAAACCGUAAAAUUGCAGUUGAAACUGGCAGGCUUGAGUGCAGUAGAGGUGGGCGGAAUUCGUGGUGUAGCGGGGAAAUGCGUAGAUAUCACGAAGAACUCCGGUUGCGAAGGCAGCUCACUGGACUGCAACUGACACUGAGGCUCGAAAGUGUGGGUAUCAAACAGGAUUAGAUACCCGGGUAGUC
rnacentral:rRNA from 1 species